rnacentral:rRNA from 1 species
UACGUAGGUGGCAAGCGUUGUCCGGAAUUACUGGGCGUAAAGCGUGCGCAGGCGGUUUUGUAAGCCAGAUGUGAAAUCCCCGGGCUUAACCUGGGAAUGGCAUUUGGGACUGCAAGGCUUGAGUGCGGCAGAGGAGACUGGAAUUCCUGGUGUAGCAGUGAAAUGCGUAGAUAUCAGGAGGAACACCGAUGGCGAAGGCAGGUCUCUGGGCUGACACUGACGCUCAUGCACGAAAGCGUGGGGAGCAAACAGG